ACACUCCUGUUUCAGUGUCCGCUACGAAGGGGAGCUCGCAGGGGAGACGGAGACGCCUGUCGCCAGAGGAGGACCCUUCAGCUGGCCCUCGGGGGCCCUGGGGCCCCACAGCAAGUCCCGAGUGGAGUGGCCGCGGGGACAGCUGCCCCGGAGAAGGACACCCGGGGCCCAGGCUCCCGCCGCCUCUUGCCAGCAAGUGGGAGCAGACAGA